AGCUUGCUCCUGGAUUCAGCGGCGGACGGGUGAGUAAUGCCUAGGAAUCUGCCUGGUAGUGGGGGAUAACGUCCGGAAACGGGCGCUAAUACCGCAUACGUCCUGAGGGAGAAAGUGGGGGAUCUUCGGACCUCACGCUAUCAGAUGAGCCUAGGUCGGAUUAGCUAGUUGGUGGGGUAAAGGCCUACCAAGGCGACGAUCCGUAACUGGUCUGAGAGGAUGAUCAGUCACACUGGAACUGAGACACGGUCCAGACUCCUACGGGAGGCAGCAGUGGGGAAUAUUGGACAAUGGGCGAAAGCCUGACCCAGCCAUGCCGCGUGUGUGAAGAAGGUCUUCGGAUUGUAAAGCACUUUAAGUUGGGAGGAAGGGCAGUAAGUUAAUACCUUGCUGUUUUGACGUUACCAACAGAAUAAGCACCGGCUAACUUCGUGCCAGCAGCCGCGGUAAUACGAAGGGUGCAAGCGUUAAUCGGAAUUACUGGGCGUAAAGCGCGCGUAGGUGGUUCAGCAAGUUGGAUGUGAAAUCCCCGGGCUCAACCUGGGAACUGCAUCCAAAACUACUGAGCUAGAGUACGGUAGAGGGUGGUGGAAUUUCCUGUGUAGCGGUGAAAUGCGUAGAUAUAGGAAGGAACACCAGUGGCGAAGGCGACCACCUGGACUGAUACUGACACUGAGGUGCGAAAGCGUGGGGAGCAAACAGGAUUAGAUACCCUGGUAGUCCACGCCGUAAACGAUGUCGACUAGCCGUUGGGAUCCUUGAGAUCUUAGUGGCGCAGCUAACGCGAUAAGUCGACCGCCUGGGGAGUACGG
rnacentral:rRNA from 1 species